rnacentral:rRNA from 1 species
CGUGGUCAAACUACCCUGUGGAUGGGAACAAUCUCGGGAAACUGAAGCUAAUUCCCAAUAACGCUCCACCCCUGGAACGGGCGGAGCUGGAAACGCUACGGCGCCACAGGAUGUGGCUGCAGAUCGAUUACGUAGACGGUGGGGUAACGGCCCACCGUGCCAAUAAUCGGUACGGGUUGUGAGAGCAAGAGCCCGGAGACGGAAUCUGAGACAAGAUUCCGGGCCCUACGGGGCGCAGCAGGCGCGAAACCUUUACACUGUACGCAAGUGCGAUAAGGGGACUCCGAGUGUGAAGGCAUAGAGCCUUCACUUUUGUACACCGUAAGGUGGUGUACGAAUAAGGGCUGGGAAAGACCGGUGCCAGCCGCCGCGGUAAUACCGGCAGCCCGAGUGAUGGCCGAUAUUAUUGGGCCUAAAGCGACCGUAGCUGGCCGGACGAGUCCGUUGGGAAAUCUGUUCGCUUAACGAGCAGGCGUCCAGCGGAAACUGUUCGGCUUGGGACCGGAAGACCUGAGGGGUACGUCCGGGGUAGGAGUGAAAUCCUGUAAUCCUGGACGGACCACCGGUGGCGAAAGCGCCUCAGGAGGACGGAUCCUACAGUGAGGGACGAAAGCUAGGGUCUCGAACCGGAUUAGAUACCCGGGUAGUCCUAGCUGUAAACGAUGCCCGCUAGGUGUGGCGCAGGCUACGAACCUGCGCUGUGCCG